UACGUAGGCAGCAAGCGUUGUUCGGAAUUACUGGGCGUAAAGAGUGUGUAGGCGGUGUUCCAAGGCUGUUGUGAAAUCUCCCGGCUUAACUGGGAGGGUGCGGCGGAAACUGGGAUGCUAGAGGAUGGGAGAGGUAAGCGGAAUUCCUGGUGUAGCGGUGAAAUGCGUAGAUAUCAGGAGGAACACCUGUGGUGUAGACAGCUUACUGGACCAUUUCUGACGCUGAGACACGAAAGCGUGGGUAGCAAACAGG
rnacentral:rRNA from 1 species